rnacentral:misc_RNA from 1 species
UGAAAACUGCAUGACAUACUAGUCUUGAAAUUCAAUGGGGAUUUAGGUUGGGACAACCAACUAAAGCAUGAUGGUGGGUUUGCCAUGCAUUACUACCCCUCGACAUUUCUAAGUGGGAGUACUACCAUUGCGCUUUCAUAUGAAGUGAUACAUCCUUAUUGCCAAGUGAAAUGGUCACAAGCUGAAAGCAAGCAACCUGACCUGACUUUGAGAUGGGUAGGUUUUGG